CGGAUACGUGUUGCAGCCCUGUGGGAACAACUCAGCUGGCCACCUGAAGCCCUGAUGCUCUGGCUUGCACUAUUACUGGGUUUCCAGAUUAGAACUUCGCCUGUCCUGCAAGUCUGACCUGAGUCUGAGCUGGGCCUGCCUUCAGCUUUCUCCCUAUUCUCUGGAUGCCUUAUGUGACCUUCUCUUGGGGCAUGGAUCAGGCAGCCCUGCAUAAAAGCAUGGUCCCAAAUCUUGACUUCUCCACUCACAAGCUGGCUGAUCUGAGGCACUGAUGGUGCAUGACAAACCGUGGUGAUGGUUCUCCACUGAGAAAAGAUGAUAAAGUCUCUCAGAAGCAAUACUCUUCUUACCGUAAGUAUCUAAUCCACUUCCAGUGGCCAUCAGAGCAAAUGGAGGACAUUAUAACACGAUUACGUGCAUAGAUCCCAAGUAAGGCCUCUAGAGCCAGAUCUGCCAGGUUUGCAUAUUGGCCUUGCCACCUUCCAGCCCUCCAACCUUGGGUGAUUUAUUUCAGGUCGCUGUGCUACAGGCUCUUCAUCCUAAAUUGGAGAUAAGAAUAGUGACUACCAUAUAGGGUUUCUGGGUGAAUUAAAUGAGUUAAUACAU